CCGGUCCUACGGGAGGCAGCAGUGGGGAAUAUUGCACAAUGGGGGGAACCCUGAUGCAGCGACGCCGCGUGGGCGAUGGAGUACUUCGGUAUGUAAAGCCCUAUCAGCAGGGAAGAAAAUGACGGUACCUGACUAAGAAGCCCCGGCUAAAUACGUGCCAGCAGCCGCGGUAAUACGUAUGGGGCAAGCGUUAUCCGGAUUCACUGGGCGUAAAGGGAGCGCAGGCGGCACGGCAAGUCUGGUGUGAAAGCCCGGGGCCCAACCCCGGGACUGCAUUGGAAACUGCCGGGCUGGAGUGCCGGAGG
rnacentral:rRNA from 1 species